AAUAACAACUUUUCUAUUUACAACGAAAAUGGGCUAUUACUCCAUUAGAGUUCGAAAUAAGUAUUCUUUUCCAGUAUUAAGUUCGAAAUAAGUAUUCUUUUCCAGUAAUAACUUCUCUGGCGAAAAUUGUUAUACACGCAAUCUCCACCUGCUAGUCGACAGUCCGGGAAAAGGGAGGCAAAAACUGGUGAACGGCAGUUAUGGUGUAGGAUUUGUGCAAAGACUGGUAUUCGAAACAUUACAAAUGCGCUUCUUAAUGAGGAUCCUUUUAGAGGCGCUGCUAACCAAGAGAUAACUUUAAAGGAGACUAUUGAACGAUUCUUUGCAGUCAAGGAUGAAACCGCUCUAAUUGAUGACUAACUAAAUUGCCGCAAAAAUUUCGUUAUGCUUUCUUUACCGAAAUGUUAUGGUACGUGUUAGCCUGCUACGUUUACGUUUUGCUCGGUCAUUCGCAUUUGGAUAGCGAAACUUCGCUAAAUGAAGAUGAAAUGUGUUCACGUCCGCACAUACACUUAACUCAUUAUGAGUCGUUCGGUAUAAAAGAAAUUUUUAUGUAUUUGUACGAUUUACCCCCGCAUAAAAAAUGUGUUCCCGAAUUACUUUGAGAUCCGAUGGCAAUAAUAAAAGAUGUGCGCACAUUGGUAGAACGCUAUUAUAAAAACAAGCCCGAGUUGGCGAUAACAGGAGAGUCGGUUUUAAAACCGCCUGGAAAAAUGCAUCCACAAUUUCAGCUAUACGAUCGGGCGCGGCUGAAACAAGAAAUCAAACAGGAAAUCGUUCGGAAAAAUGCGGAGAUUAUAAGAGAUUAGCAGCAAUUGGAAGCUGCGUAAGCUGCUGGAGUAUCUACAGUGACGACUGAUGAGAAUGGAAUAAUAAGUGCUAUCAAAAAGGAGCCAACUCAAAAUGUAAACCCCCCACAAGUGAUGUUUAUUUGGACUUAUGCGCAAUUUUAAAUUGUACAUUAAAAUUUUAAAGACCUAGGUUAUAUAAUAAUAUAGCGACCAACGAAAUCAAAAAGCGGGAGGUUUAAAUCUCUUUAGGUUUAAUAUAUAUUUUGAGGCGCCCAAUAUUUGUUAUCAAGCCUAAUUGUAUAAGAAAUUAUGAAUAAUUUGGAAGACGAAUAUGCUAAUAAAAGUGCAAUACAUAAUUAACUAAAU